AACACCUUGUUCCUCCACAGACACAUUAUCCUUCUAAAGUUAUUUAGACCUGAGAUCUCCAGGAAAGCUGUCUAAAAAAAGCCAGGACAACCUUAGGAGAUGAGGCCAUCGACUCCACAGCAGCAAAAGAGAUGGUCCGAGACGCCCUGACUAGUAGACCUGGUGAGCAAGAUGUAUUAGAAGAGGACCAGACAACCAAAACAUUGGACCACAGAACCAGGAGCGAGAUUGCCAUCUUAGUCAGCCACAAUCCUGCAAUGGACUUUUUGCUGAUGUUCAAUGAUGAAACAUCCUCUAAACUCCUUGAAAAGUGGGACACUGUAUUGAAGCCUAAAGUCAUCAAACUGGUCAAAUCCCUGACUAUGACCAUGAUGCGUUGCCUCUUGAAGUCUGCAGAGAACUGCCAGAGAAUGACAGUGAAACCAAUUUGGACAAUGAUAUGUCCUCCCUGCUGCUGCUGCUUCAUCUCCCACCAGCAGCAGGAGGGAAGAGCACCAAGAUCAGUGCCAGUGAUGCUGUGGGCAGACUAGUGCACAUUCAUAAGUCAUGCUGCAGCACUGUAGACCAUCUGGAUGGGAGCCAUGGUUGACAGACAUACCUCCUUGCUAACGAAAGAAGACAGAGCAAUAUUGACAACUGCUACAACGUGGUGGACAAGAGGCUUGUUCCCUGCCAGGACCUGAGCCCUAGGACCAUGCCUCAGGACUACCUGACAUGAUGACUCCUUGCUGUCCCCAGUCCACCUGGCCGUGCUGCUGCUCCAGUUUCAACUGUUCUGCCUGUGAUUAUUAUUAUUUGACCAUGCUGGUCAUUUAUGAACAUUUGAACAUCUUGGCCAUGUUCUGUUAUAAUCUCUACCCGGCACAGAAGAGGACUGGCCACCCCACAUAGCCUGGUUCCUCUAGGUUUUGGCCUUUCUAGGGAGUUUUUCCUAGCCACCGUGCUUCUACACCUGCAUUGCUUGCUGUUUGGGGUUUUAGGCUGGGUGUCUGUACAGCACUUUGAGAUAUCAGCUGAUGUACGAAGGGCUUUAUAAAUACAUUUGAUUUGAUUAAAGUCAACCUAGAGAACGGUGGAAACAGAAUAGCACUUAAUUAUAUUCAAACACCCUCUUGUGAGAAACGUUCCACCAGUAAAUGAGAACUGGAAUUUUCCGCUCAUUUUACUGCAAGUAACCAAUUGAACGUCACACACUUUUCAAACCGUUGUACUGACGACUUGAUACCCAAACAUCACUUUGAUACAUUACUCAGCAUGCAUAAGACAAGUCGGUCCUUUAUUACAAAUGUGGAGCAGGAGGAACACCUUCAAGAACAUUAAGUCCCUUGCCAAAAAACAUCAAUUUGCUAUAGGCCAUCACUGGGAGACCUCAUGAUUGGACCGACAAAAGCAUUUUCCCUGUGGGAUUUUACUGGUCAGUGCAGAAAGCCAUUUCCUCUACCAGCUGGGUUAAGAUGGAUGGCACAGUGCAGAGGGGGACUGUUAGUUUGCAGUAAGAUGGAGCAUGAAAUGCCAGUCUUGUAAGAUAACUAAGAUCAUUGUGGUUGACAUCAUUGUAUACCUAUUCCUGGACAAGUUGCAUACUGAUCAUUUCUGUGAACAUUACCAUGCAUUCACUGUGUUUUGAAGGUGUUGAUGACAAAGUUUAUCUGCAAUGUUAUAAGCCUCGUGUCUUUCAAAGUGCUUAUGGUCCUGAUGAGAGCCUUUGUUUGGUAUGAUUGAUUAAUAGUCAGAUUAUUGGAAACUUUGUCAAGAAAAUUGCAUACCUAGUCUUAGGACUUCCAGUUGUGUUUAAAUAGCGACUCUACAAAUACUCUUCUUCUCAUAUAGUACAUGUUCUGAUGCACUGAUUUCAUUUUAAUGUGCCUGUGAUGCACUGAUUUCACAUUUGGCCUAAAUAAAUUAAACAAAGUCACA